rnacentral:sRNA from 1 species
AUAUAAAUGGAAUUGCAGCGAUAUCCUUUUUUGCUUUGACAAAUUAAUAGCACUGAAGCAAGGAAUUUGUCAAAACUUAAAAAAACAAAAAAGAUUUAGCGUAAAGCCCGACUGGAA